UAUCCACUCAUUUCCAUCUCCAGAAUCACCUAAAAAUAUUCUACUCCUGAUCCAGGAGAGAUUAGCCAAAAAUAUUUCUAUUUUUCCCUUGUGAAAUAAAUACUCAAGUUAUCUUGGUACUACCACUUGCUAUAUUAUCUCAAGAGAUGAGUGCUCUAAAAAAAUAUGAGGAAAUAAAAAGGGGCAAGUGCCUGGAACCUCGAAAGAAAAGAAAAAGUGAGACGAGAGGUAAAAAUGGACAAGUGUCCGACAGUAGAAUUAGGGGUACAAGAUACCCACCUGAGAGAAAAUAAAAUAAAAAGAGCAUCUCAUUCUCCUCACAAAGUUUCAAAAAGCAAGGAAGGUAUGUAUCCCCUCAAAGAGCAAAAGUAGAAUUAGACUUUCACCGUUGUUAUCACCAUCAUCACCAUACACCAUUCAUUCGCCACACAUGCACAUCUUGAUUUGACUUAUUGAUUUGUUUCUUUCGAUCCAUGGUUUGACUAUGCAAUAAAUGUCUUGUAAGUAUGUAUAUUUUAUCUCCCACCUAUGAGCUCUAGAUAUUAAAGCCUUAUUAGAGUUGGGUGAGAGAGAAGGCAAUGUCACUAUGCCUUAUACCACAAAUACCACAUACUUUUUGAGAGAAGGCAUAUACCAUCACUGCCUUGGUAAGGAUCCAGAAAUACCACAAAAGAGAGAUUUGGGAGAAUCAUACAAGGAAUCUCUGAGUUUUAUAUGAAAAUCUGCAAAAACUCCAGAGCUAUAGCUGAUCACGAAUAAGAGACAUGUGUCGAGGAUAUCAGUAAGGGGUACCCCAACUGAUGUCCUUAUCAAGAAUAUCCGUACACAAAUCAAGGCCUCUAAUUCGACGCCCUACCCAGUUGUGAGCAUGGUCCUCGACGACCGUAGGCUCGAAGACGGAAAGGGCGUCCUGCGAAUCGACCAGAGCUCGAGCGUAGGCUACUGUCGAAUACAGAAAUAGGCUCGAGCGAAUCGGAAGGCGUCGAGCGCAAGGACGUCGCCCGCCACCUGACACAGACACGGGAACUAGGGCAUUUAAUGCGCCUGUCGCGUUCUCACCUAACUUGCCAGUCACGGGAAGCGAGAUAGGGAAUAGGCACUCGUCCCAUCAUUCUUUUUGCAGCCUUCCCCACCAAAUAUGCCAGAGCGUGGCAGGUCGCAGGAAGCGGGUCGGAACAUCUAAUCAAGACCCCCUCGAGACGUCCAAGGUCAGCGCUCUGGCUAGCAAGGCGUUACACGGCAUCUGACCCUCGAGUAGGCGUGUAUCCUUCCUGAGGAAGGGUUGGACGUCGAAUGACAACACAACAACCACUCCGACAUAUCUGCCGCCACAACGUACAAGCAUGCAACAGAUAAACCAGCCCAGGACGACGUGCAGAGCGGGAUACCGGGGCACGCGUAAUCAUCAUCAAGCUAUCAGGACAAGAUGGCUUGAAACCAUGCCGGUACGGAGGCCUCGAGUAGGUCAGAGCGCCAUACCUCUAUCGACCCCUACUCUGACGCCUAUACAUGUACCCUAGGUCUCUCCUUGGAACUAUAAAAGGGGAGGCCUGGGAGCGGACACGGGGGACAGGAGACAACGGAACAACACAUGCGUAGUAGAGCUUCCAUACUCCAUCUCCAUCCCAGUUCAUACAUGCUUGUAUUGACCCCUGUACAAGCACUUAGGUGCAGAAUAAUACAAACUCCCCCCCCCCGCUGGACGUAGGGCCUUCUCUUGCCCGAACCAGGAUAAAUCUUUGUGUCUUCUUGCAUCACCAUCUGGAAACGGGAGCAAGCAUGCAAAUUUACUAGUUGGUGUGACCCCCCGGGGGGAAAACACCGACAGUUAGCGCGCCAGGUAGGGGUCCUGCGUGUUUUUCACCGAUUUCCCAUUCCUUUCCAGAUGGCCACUCUCACUUCGCCGAUCCCGCGCUCCACGGUGAUUUGGUUUGGGAGUCUCGAGUUCAUGUCUACUGGCUCCGGCUAUGACAUGAUCCUGCUCUCGGUCAAAGGACCGGGAGGAGCCCGCAUUGCGCCAACACGGUUAAGGGCCCCGAGACGCCCUCGCCACCAUGCCUCCCCACCCAAGAAGAGGCUUGGACAGCACCGUCAUCGCCCUUCUGCCUCGUCACGACCGACAGUUCGUGCCAGGUGGGAGGCGGCACAGGAGCCGACAGCCCCGCGCGCCAAAACCGAGGGCAUGACGGCUCGACGCCACGAGGAUCGCACGACGACAGGAGGCGACGCGCCCCGCGCGCUCUCCCCCACCGCUGCGCUACUUCCACAUGGGCUGUUCGCCCCAAGAAGGGCGCUGCCGUUCGGGCUGGACAACACUGCAGCAUCGCUCGCCAGGACGAUAUGUCCAAAUGCCCGGACAUACGUGGAGAGACCAAUGGUCCUCCCACGCGAUACUGGAGUACAGCAGCGGGCGUCCGAGCUGCCGGAUUUCUCACAAGUACGAGGCCUCCGUCGCCUAGGGCCUAGGCGAUACACGAUUACCUCCCUCAGGCAACGACUGCUGGAGGAGGGACGUGGAUGUUUUUACGCCGCCGAGCCAGACUCCGACUCCGAGACCGACAGUUACGACCCUACUAGGGAAUGCUUCCAUAUCGACGGGGCGGUGGAAACCACCGACGAGACACAGGACGCCGUUGCUGGCGGUCGAGCUUCUGCAGCAAGAGAAGACCCCAGGACGCCUGGGAACGAUGGUCAAGUCGACCCCCCUCCACAGGAAGACAGAGCCGCGCAACUUGCGCAGCUAUGAGAGCUCAAGACAAAACUUGACGAAGAUCGUGAGCGCCUCGUCCUGCUCGAGCAAAUCCUUGAGCUGGACCUGCCUUACCCGCCUGGCGGAAGUGUACGCAGACGGGCUCAAGAGGUACAUAGGCAGAUUGUCGGAGACGAAGAGCCUGAGCAGCCCGUCAGUCGUUUCCCUCGAGCAGGUCAGAACAUCAUGGCGAUGACAAUGUUGCUGCGUAAUAUGCCCGAGCCGUCAAAUUCCCAAGCACGACGCAUUCGAGAUGAGGUGCAGACUCUGCUCCAGGUAGCAGCGGUUCAGCACGCCGAAAGCUCGGCCUCUCGACGUCGAGGAACGGCCACAGAGAAGCGCGAUGAGCCGGCUGACAACAAAAAGGAUGUAUCGGUCCAUCAGCAGCCGCCCCCUCGAGGGAAAAAGACCACGGUCGUCCUCCCCGUCGACAACCAACGACGACACGACGCACGACGCGACAUCGACGAGAAUCGUCGCCGUCGGUACGGGGACGCAGAAGAGCGCGGUUACAGCGCCCAUCGCGGCGGGAGGUACGACAGCGACGAGGACCGUAUGGCCCCGGAGCCACCGUGUCCGCGUGUGUUUAGCAAGGCAAUCCGCAGCACGCCGCUGCCCAGCCCGUUCCGAGCCCCGACCAGCAUUGCAAAGUAUAACGGCGAGACCAAGCCAGAGCUGUGGCUGGCAGAUUUCAGGCUGGCCUGUCAGCUAGGAGGCGCUUGAGGGGACGAUCGAGCCAUCAUCAGACAGCUGCCGCUUGUCCUCUCCAACACCGCUCGAAGAUGGCUCGAGGAGCUCACGGCCAACCAGAUCUACGAUUGGGUCGAUUUGGUCAGGGUGUUCGAGGGAAACUUCAAAGGAACCUAUAUAUGACCUGGCAACUCGUGGUACCUCAGCAAAUGCAAGCAGAAGUCGGGAGAAACACUUCGAGAGUAUGCUCGACGCUUCUCGAAGCAGCGCACCGAGCUGCCACAAAUCCCCGACCAUGACGUCAUCCUGGCCUUUGUCUCUGGUACCACCAGUCGAGACUUGGUGCGGAAAUUAGGCCGGAAUCACCCUCAGACCAUCGACGAGCUGAUGGACGUGGUGGCAAAUUACGCUGUAGGGGAAGAAGCGGUCGGAGCCUUCUUUAGCUGCGAAGGAAGGAAAGGCAAGUCGCCCGCCGACGAUGAUGAGGGCCCUAGUCGAGGACCCAAGAAGAACAAAAUGAAGAAGAAGACACGGCCGUUCCAGUGGGAAGACCUCGACGACGAUCUCGUCGCCGCCAUGGAGCGCAAAAGGCCACGAGUGCCCCCAGAAGGGGCCAUCUUCGACAAGAUGCUAAAGGAGACAUGUCCUUACCACAAGGGAGGGGCAAACCACAAGCUCGAGGACUGCCGUAUGCUGAAAAAGCACUUCGAUGGCCCGGGGUUCAAGAAGGACGCCCGUGAUGACCCAAACAAAGAAAAGAAUGGCGACAAAGGGGAUGACAAAGAUGACGAGGGUUUCCCUGCCGUCCACGACUGCUACAUGAUCUAUGGUGGACCCUCGGCACUGCUGACCGCAAGGCAGCGCAAGAGGGAACGCCGUGAGGUCUUCGCGGCAAGAAUGGCGGUGCCCCAGUACCCCAGCUGGUUAGGCACCCCCAUCACCUUCGAUCGAGAUGACCACCCCGACAAGGUAGUCGCCCCCGGCGUUUACCCGCUCGUUGUCGACCCCAUCAUCGUCAACGCCAGGCUCUCAAAUGUGUUGAUGGAUGGCGGCAGCAGCCUCAACAUCAUCUACCUCAAGACCCUCGACCUACUCGGCAUCAACAGGGCGUAGCUUCAACCAAGCGCUGGCGGCUUCCAUGGUGUCGUACCUGGGAAGAAGGCGUUACCGGUAGGUCGAAUCGACCUACCAGUCUGCUUUGGCACGGCGGCCAACUUCAGAAAAGAGACCCUCACCUUUGAGGUGGUGGGGUUCUGAGGGACGUACCACGCCAUCAUCGGACGCCUGGGCUACGGCAAAUUUAUGGCCAACCCAACUACACCUACCUGAAGCUCAAGAUGCCUGGGCCAAAGGGGGUCAUCACCGUCAGCUCCUCCUACGAGCACGCGUACGAGUGCUACGUCGAAUGUGUCGAGUAUGGAGAAGCUGUCGAGAGUUCCACCGAGCUCGCCUCGAGGCUCGAGGCCCUGGCCGCAGAAGCUCCAGAGCCCAAGCGCCACGCAGGCAGUUUCGAGCAGGCUGAGUGGACAAUGAAGAUACCACUCGACCCCAACGGCUCCGACGGUAAGGUGCUGAUGAUCAGCGCCGACCUCGACCCCAAAUAGGAAGCCGUGCUCGAUCGACUUUCUCCGUGCAAACGCCGACAUGUUUGCAUGGAGUCCCUCAGACAUGCCGGGCAUACCGAGGGAAGUCGCCGAGCACUCCUUGGAAAUUCGAGCCGGUUCCAAGCCAGUGAAGCAGCGGUUGUGCCGCUUCGAUGAGGAGAAGCGCAAGAUCAUUGGCAAGGAGAUCCACAAGCUUUUAACGGCCGGUCAUCAAGGAGGUUCACCAUCCCGACUGGUUAGCAAACCCUGUACUAGUUAAGAAAAAGAAUGGGAAAAUGAGGAUGUGUGUCGAUUAUACGAGUUUAAAUAAAGCAUGUCUGAAAGUUCCUUUUCCAUUACCACGUAUCGAUCAAAUUGUUGAUUCUACUGCACGAUGUGAAACCCUUUCAUUCCUUGAUGCUUAUUCUGGUUACCAUCAAAUAAAAAUGAAAGAGUCCGACCAGCUCGCGACAUCUUUCAUUACGCCUUUUGGGAUGUAUUGUUAUGUAACCAUGCCGUUCGGGCUUCAAAAUGCGGGAGCGACAUACCAGCGCUGCAUGCUCCACGUGUUUGGUAAGCACAUAGUGUCGACGGUCGAGGCCUAUGUCGACGACAUUGUCGUCAAGUCAAAGCAACGGGGAGACCUGAUUUAGGACCUCGAGAUCGCUUUCAGUUGCUUAAGCGCCAACCAGAUCAAGCUCAACCCUGAGAAGUGCGUUUUCGGCGUGCCUCGAGGCAUGCUCCUGGGUUACAUUGUUUCCCAGAGUGGCAUCGAGGCUAAUCCUGAGAAAGUCUCGGCCGUCACGAAAAUGGGGCCAAUCCGAGACGUCAAGGGCAUGCAGAGAGUCACGGGAUGCUUAGCGACGCUGAGUCGUUUUAUCUCGAGGUUGGGAGAAAAGGCGUUGCCACUGUAUCGACUCCUGAAGAAAGUCGAGUGUUUCUCUUGGACCCCCGAGGCCGAGGAAGCUCUCGAUAACUUGAAGAAAACACUGACCUCUGCCCCGGUCUUGGUCUCACCCCAACCCGCAGAACCUCUGCUUCUAUACGUUGAAUCGACCACCCAGGUCAUCAGUGCGGCCAUAGUGGUCGAGAGGCAAGAGGAGGGGCAUGCGCUGCCGGUCCAGAGGCCAGUCUAUUUCGUCAAUGAGGUGCUCUCAGAAACCAAGGCACGAUACCCACAGAUCCAGAAGCUAAUAUACGCCGUAAUCCUCGCCCGACGCAAGCUACAGCACUACUUCCUCGGCCACCCUAUCACGGUGGUCUCGUCCUUUCCCUUGGGUGAGAUCAUCAAAGUCGGGAGGCCACGGGAAGAAUCACAAAGUGGUUGGUUGAGCUGAUGAGCAAGACCCUCACUUACGUGCCCCGCAAAGCUAUCAAAUCACAAGCCCUGGUGGAUUUUGUCGCGGAAUGGACAGACUCCCAGCUCCCUCUGGCUCAAGUUCAGGCAGAGUUGUGGACGAUGUACUUUGACGGGUCUCAUGAAGACGGGAGCUGGGGCGGGUCUGCUAUUCAUCUCGCCCCUGGGCGUUCAUAUGAGGUAUGUCAUCAGGAUACAUUUUGCCGCAUCCAAUAACGUCGCAGAAUACGAGGCCCUUGUCAACAGUCUGAAGAUCGCCAUCGAGCUUGGAGUCCGACGCCUCGACAUUCGAGGUGACUCCUAGCUCGUCAUCAACCAAGUGAUGAAAGCCUCGAACUGCCAUGACCCAAAAAUGGAGGCGUACUGCAAGGAGGUCUGUCGACUCGAGGAUAAGUUCCACGGCCUCAAGCUCGUCCACAUCGCCCGACGCUACAACGAGGCAGCCGACGAACUCGCUAAGAUCGCAUCGACUCGAGGCAUGGUCCCACCUAACGCAUUCUCGAGAGAUCUACUCGAGCCAUCCGUCGACUUGGGCUCGGGGGCUGGUGUCGAAGCCACUCCAACCAAGCAAACCGACACCGUCGAAGCGCUGCUAAUGGCAGCCGAGGUAAUGGAGGUGGAACAGUGGCCCAGUCGACCGUUUGACUGGCGCACGCCAUUCCUCGACUGCCUAAUUCGCUGCGAGCUACCAGAAGAUCAAUCCGAGGCCCGCCGUAUCGCCCGACGUGCCAAAUUGUAUGUGAUCUAUGGCGAGGGCAAUGAGCUAUACCGACGAAGCCCAACAGGGAUCUUGCAGCAUUACAUCACCAUAGAAGAAGGCUGAAAACUCCUCGAGGAUCUACACUCGGGGGCUUGUGGCCACCAUGCAGCUCCACGGACCCUCGUAGGGAACGCUUUCCGACAAGGCUUCUACUGGCCAACGGCCGUAGCUGACGCCAUCGAGCUCGUGUGCUCGUGCCAUGGGUGCCAGUUCUACGCCAAGCAGACGCAUCUGCCCGCUCACGCUCUCUAGAUGAUCCCCAUCACGUGGCCGUUUGUGGUAUGGGGGCUCAACUUAGUAGGACCUCUACAGAAGGCAAAAGGGGGGUACACACAUUUGUUGGUGGCCAUCGACAAAUUCUCCAAAUGGAUCGAGGCUCGACCCAUCACCAACAUCCGCUCCUAGCAGGCCGUCUUUUUCUUCACCGACAUCAUCCACCGGUUCAGGAUUCCCAACGUCAUCAUCACCGACAACGGCACUCAGUUCACUGGCAAAAAUUUCUUGGACUUCUGCGAUCAGCAUCACAUCCGUGUGAACUGGUCUGCAGUGGCCCACCCUCGAACUAACAGCCAGGUCGAGAGUGCCAACGGCAUGAUUUUGCAGGGGCUCAAACCGAGGAUCUACAACCGCUUGAAGAAAUUCGGCAAGAAAUGGGUCGAGGAGCUUUCCUCGGUCCUAUGGAGCUUAAGGACGACACCAAGCGGGGCCACAAAAUACACCCCAUUCUUCAUGGUCUAUGGCUCUGGAGCCGUGCUCUCCACGGACCUCGAGUAGGGAUCCUCUCUACUCAAAGCAUAUAAUGAGCAAUCAAAUAAAGAGACUCGAGAGAAUGCGGUCGACCAACUCGAGGAAGCUCGAGACAUGGCCCUCCUCAACUCCACCAGAAACCAGCAGAAGCUUCGACGCUACCACGACAAACACGUGCGCAAGAGAGAUCUGAACAUGGGUGACCUUGUCCUACGGCUGCGGCAAAGCAAUCAAGGAUGCCACAAGCUGACUCCACCUUGGGAGGGCCCAUACGUAGUGGCCGAGGUCUUGAAGCCGAGGACAUACAAGCUAGCGGACGAAAAAGGGGCGAUCUUCACCAACGCGUGGAACAUCGAACAGCUACAUCGAUUCUACCCCUAGAAUUUCAAAGCUUUAUGUUCCAACAUACAUUUUGUACCAAGGCCUUAUGAAUGAACGCAUGAAUGAAAAAGAUCCUUCCCUCGAGUAAUUUACCUUUUUUUCGCUGGUCGAAAUUUCAACGUUAGAAGGGAGUACCAACUAUGACUCAUCAAAGUCGAUACCCCCUCGGGGGCUAGCAGGGGGUCCCCCCCCCAAAUGUCGAAAAAACCAAGAAAUCCUCUCGUUCCUAUCAGUAAAUCUCACGCGGUCGAGUAGUGGAGGCACCUCGAGCCCCUUCAGGGCCGAGGAACAAUGAGCCUGAGGACUCCAACGCCUUCGGGCUACGGUACCGCUACUCGCUUCCACACCCUCGAGGUAAUCGAGAUCGCCUUAACAAAAGACAAAAUGGGAAUUACAGACAUAGGCGCAAAAAGAAACAAAGGUACCUCGAGCGGAAAAGACAGACACACAUUCACAGAAAUCUUACAACCACUUAAAGAUACGGUAUUACUUAAGACAGAUUCGAAAAAUACUAUACAAGGUGCCUCAGCACCCAGAGUAGGCUCGCAGGCCUCAGUCCGCGUCUCAGCCCUCACCAUCCUCGCCCGCGCCUGAGCUAGUCUCAGGGGAAAGUACUUCUGGCUCGAACAACUUGGCCAACCUCUCUACAGGGACCUCUGCGUCGUCGAUCAAGGCGUGGAGCCUCUCCUCGUUCUCCGCGUCAGUCUUGGAGAUGUCGGUGACAAAGCCGUGGGACACCACCUCCAUAUCUGUUGACGGUCCUUAAUGCUCACAUUUAACCAUCAACUAAUCAUGGAAAAGGAUCCAAAUGCAACCAACAUCUAGACUUAGGGUUUUAUCUGACAGAAUUCCACGAGUUUUGGUGUUUGUCUAUUUCUGCAGGGGGUUAUCAGGAAAUAAGGAAGAAAGGCCCACACGUCGGGUUUACAUAGAGAUAUUAACGUGCCGCGCAAUUUUCUAUCAUCUAGAAGACUCCAGAGCCCACAGGAACAAACCGGAAGCCGAGAGGCCUCAGGGUCAGGGUGCCCGCCCUAGUCCUGAGGGCGCCCGCCCACCUUUUUCCACCAAAUAGAGUCCAAUUUGGGGACAACACUCCACCGACCUAAAGGAUUAUGGAAAACCGUGCGAUCAAUGUCAGUUUGAUCCAACGGCCCAGAUUCACUUGAAGGGACUAUAAAACCAGACCCCCUGGCCCCUGGAGAUCAUACCUCUUCUACAGAAUCAAAGCUAGAGUUUCAAUUCUUCAUCCAAGUAGAGAGGAUCCCUCUAGUUCUUCUAGUUCUACCUCUAGUUCAUCUAGUUCUAGUUCUAGUUCAUCUAGUUCUAGUUCUAGUUCCUCUAGUUCUAGUUCUAGUUAGUUCUAGUUGUAAUCUAGAAAAUAGGGAGAGAGAAGAGGAGAGCGGAGGAGGAGCCAGAUCUGUCGGAUCUUCCUCAACAUUGUACUUUUGCAGCAACUGGUUCGUUCUUCAACGUUCUCCAGGUUCUUCAAUUCAUAAUUCCUGAGUUCUUUAAUUACUUUUAUUUACAUUCAAGUUAUUUAUUGGAUUCCCGCUUGCAUCAAGUGCUCUAGUCUUUAUAACGCUAGAGUAGUAAUUAAUAGAUUAGAUGUGGUGUUUAGUCUUGCAAUUACCUGGAAUUGCACCCAAUCCUGCGGAUUGUUGUUGUAGCCUUAGGGUAGUGACAGCCCUAACGGUCGACGUAUUCCACCUCGUUCGGAUCGGUGUUUGUAGGACCGUAGUCAGACCUUACUAGCCCCCUUCUCAUCUCUUUCUGUGGUUAGUGCUCUGAUGUCCCGAUAUAGAUAAUUUUGAAGUAAUUCUUGAUUCUUAGAUCAACUAGAGAACUCUCAGGAAACUUCCUCUUUUCCAACCAAAAAUAAUUAUAUAGUCAUCCUUGGGCGAUCUUGGAUCUUAAUUAGUACACUCACGUUCUCUGUGGAAAAUCGAUACACUGGAAUACUCCCGGGUGAAAGCUACAUCGGUAUCCGUGCGCUUGCGGAUUUUUCUGUUUGCGUUUAAAAUACCCAACAAGCUUUCUGGCGCCGUUGCCGGGGAACGGUAGCUGUGCUAGUUUCGAACCAAGUCAUCCGUGUAUCCUUUUUAUUUUCCUUUUUUACCACACUCACCUCAUCAUUUUCACCAUACCACAUGGAUUUCACUCUAAGCAUUAAUGAGCAUGGAAUUUAUUUCAUAGCCACUUCAUUUACUCCAUGCUCAUAUGCAACAUCUUCCCAAUCCAUUGGUUUUUCCAACAUCACCACAUUCGAGAUCUCCAACCCCCUCAUCCUUUCUAUUUAUAAAAACUUUAAAAGGGCGGUUGUCGAUGCAUAUGUCUAUAUUAAAUAUUGCAGAUCUCGUUGAGUUGAUCUUGAUAUAGGUCAGCGUUGGAGGGGAAACCACUUCGCUGAUAUAAAUUGAUGGUUUCCCAAGGACAAGCUUAGUGUCCUAAAAUAAGCAUUGAUCAGAUCGUAACAUGAGCUUUUAAUUAUUUGCAACAUUACCUUGUGUGUUGAGCAUAUAAGGAUAAUUGUAAAAAUAUUCCUUCGGGUAUUCUUGUCACUAACCUUUCCAGGAUUGGAGCAAGAAGAUCGGAUGAAUGACAAGCACAAGGUAUGUCCAACCAAUCAUCAUACAACAUUGAAUUAAAUUCAUCCAAACUUGAAUUUUGCAAAAUUCAAGCUUGGGGGAGUACUUUACAUAAAAACAUCCUUUGCCAUAUUGCUAUGUUUGUUGUCCCUACCUUCGAGACAUGCUCAACUUGUUAAAUACUAAUCACACUACUUCAUCUCCACUUGAGUAGAUCUCUAUAAAUGCUCUCAUGCUACCUUUAUUUGCUUUAGUAUAUGUCUAGGUUUGGAGUAGUUUCAUUUAUCUCUUAAUUAAGCAUGGUGCUUAGUUUAGGGCUGAUGAUCUUACUUCCAAGGGAGUUUAAAUUAAGCAUGAUGCUUAGGUUAAAAUGCCCUCCUAAAUCAAAUUAGACAUGGUGUCUAGGUUGAUCUUUGAGCCGAUAGUAGAUAUUGGAUAUUUUGUUGGACUAACCCCUGCAGGAGAACUUUCAAUAUCGACCUGGGAAGUCCUGAGAUAAACUCACAUUGGAGACAAAGAGAGAGACACAUGAAGUUUAACAAUUUACACAAGGAAGGCAUAGCUCACAAGAGAUGAUCCAUGGAGGGUGCCACAAACACGAUGCACAACCACUAAGAAAGGAAAGCUUCCACAAGGUGAUACUGUACCAUCACUCUUCAAGAAAGGUAACAUCUUAAGGUACUUGACUAUCACUUUUAUAAAGCUUCUCCUUGGUUCCGGCGUUCACAUGAAUAAAAGAGACAAACAUAUAUGAUUUACAACUCUAGAUUAACCAACCCAAUUGAUUCAACAUGUUUAGUCCUUCCAUCUUUGUGAUCCCACAAUCCUAAUCAUAUGAGUUAAAAUGUUGUACACUCAAUCUUUAGAAGAUAUAUAAAAAAACAUAAGUAUAGAUAGAUUAUCUUUCCAUUAGGUUGAGCAAUCUGAUCUGACAAAUAUUUUAAAUGCUACACUCAUGAUCUUAUUAUCCAUCAACUUUGCCUUGCUCGCUAUGCUUAAGGUUAGAGAAGAACAAAUACACUUUUGGUUCUGUUGGUGUUUUCCACCAACAGAGCCCAUGCACUUGAUCUCUGCCUUGUCUCUAUGAGCAGGUACACUGCGAGCAAAAUAUGAAGGACUUUUACAACUCCCAGACUCCACCAAGUGAAGAACCUAGAUCUAGGAGCACAAACACACUGGAGAUACUGGACACUCAGGCAAUCACUACCCUGAGAUGCUUGAGGACGUAACUACUGGAGUAACCCCGUAGUGGAAGUAAUUACUGACCUUGUGCCGGUCAAAAGAGACAAUCCAGGACGCCCCAUCAUCCCGAUGUCUAUCGGCAUGGUGGACUUCCCAGAAGCACUCUACGACUUUGGCUCCAGCGUCAACACUAUGCUCAGGGGAGGCCAUUCCUGAACACCUCAGGAGCUGUCAUCUACGCUAGUGCUGCCAAGAUCAGUUUCUACAUCAACGGGAGGAAGGAGACGUUUUCCUUCGAGAACAAGAUUACACAAAUCUCAGAGCAAUCCAGACAUGAACCAAGGAAGAGGACCAACAGGAGGAACAGAAACAAGCAAAUGUGGACCGAGUCAGCUAAGAUGGUCACUACAGUUCAAGGAGGUCAAGAUCGUCGACUUAAGUCACCGUUCCUGACCAGAAAGGACGACUCAGUCACCUAUCAGCUCCUGUUAGGAACCAUGCCCUUAAAACCGACAUACACCCAGCUCCAGAUGGCAGAUCAAACAUUUCAGAAGGUUGAAGUUAUUGACAUAGGAGAAGACGAGUACGAUCCACCCAUCAUCCUUGGAAGACCGUUCCUCAGCUCCGUUAAAGCAAUCAUCUACAUUGGAACCGGAGAAGUCCACAUGCAAUUCCUCUCUGAGAAGGUACGCCGCUAUUUUACUAACCUUAACUAUAUAGUUGAAGACACUAAGCAGGUCAGGACAAUAAGAAGACGACGCAACCGUAACCAGAGGAGGAAAAUCAUCAAGGACGGAUGAGCAGACUACGAAGGAGAAGUGGUAAUGUCUGAAGACAUAAAACUUACACAGAACUGUCCUGAGGAGACCGUAGCACCGAGUCAGGUGUGUAGAGAGAAGAUAGUUAUACACGAAGAGCAGGCUCCGCCGGAACCACCGACUACGCCAUCCAGCGUAUCCCAGGACGACUGAGAAAACGGAGAGUCCCGUUCGGAGGACUUAAAAACACCGAACGCUUUGCCAAGACGUAAACUUGGUAGUUAUCUUUUUCCUUUCAAUUAAUUUAAAAUUUUUUGGUUAGUUAUUCAGGUUCAUAUCAUCUUGAAAAGAAAAUAAAAUGUUAAAAAUAGUAAGCCCCAUGUGAGUAUGCUCAUGGCAUAAAACCCAUAAGUAUAUUCACUGUGGUGGCUUAAAAAAAUGAAAUAAAUAUAUUCCUAUCCUAUAAAAAUAAAAUUAUAAAAAUAAAUUUAUGAUCCCACUAAAGAGAGUAACAUUUAUUGAGGAGGCUCAACAUGAUAAACGCUAGAUAUUUAUGCUAACACUUAACCAGUUCCACAAAGCUUUGUUGUCUAUUUGAGCUCCACAGAAUUCAAGGAUCAAAGAAGACUAGCAGACGGAGGACAUCAUAAUCGCUGAUAGAGUGCUGCCGACAUUCAAAUACACCUCCGCCAGCUGCUAGCUACAUCAGAAGAAAUUACGUCAAAAUCUAGCUGGGGGGAGAGCACCCCCAUUUAUCCAGCUAAGUGUUCUACUCACAUUUAUACUUUACUCAAAUAAUAAAAAGAUGCAUAAUCAUAAAAACCCAAAUAAAGAUUUUGUGCUUAUAUAUAUCUUUGCUUAGUUUGCUAAAUAAAUAAAUAAAUAAAGUAAGUCUGCUAUGAACCCUCAUGAUAAGCUCUCACAUGGAAAUGAUGAAUAGUUGCUCUAACAUUACUAGUUCUCAAAAUUGAAAUCUCACUCAAGUUUAGGCAUGACUGUUAUUAAUUAAGCUUUGCUCUAAACCUAAACUUGUGGGAAGAGUACUUGAUCUAAAGUCUAAGUCAUUAACGGAUAUGAUAUGGGAAGGUUGAGCUGCUGUUUAUUUGUUCCUAGAGAUGCUAGAAUUCUGGAGAAUUUUAUCUUUGAAAAACUUUAAAAUGUUGCAUGAUGAGUUCCUGUAUGAUGAGAGUUUAAAUUCCUACCACAGACAUAUAUACAUGCUUGCUAGACUUUGAGCCACAUUUACUUUUUAAUGCUUAUGAGCAUUGAGUGUGGUCAAGCUGUGUAGACCCUUAGGAGCUUGUCAUGUGGUUAAAUCAAGAUUCACUUGCACGUUCACUCACACAUGCUACUUCUACUCCGGAAGUACCAUCCACUCAUUUCCAUCUCCAGAUUCACCCAAAAUUAUUCUACUCUUAUCCGGGAGAGAAUAGCCAAAAACAUUAUCCCAUUUCUGUUUUUCCCCUGUGAAAUAAAUGCUCAAGUUAUCUUGUUACUACAACUUGCUAUAUUAUCUCAUGAGAUGAGUGCUCUAAAAAAAGAAAAAAGAGAAAAAGUAUACGAGGAAAUCAAAAGGGGCAAGUGCCCGGAACCUCGAAAGAAAAAGAAAAAGUGAGACGAGAGGUAAAAAUGGACAAGUGUCCGACAGUAGAAUUAGGGGUACAAGAUACCCACCUGAGAGAAAAGAAAAAAAGAGAGAAAAAGAAAAUAUAGAGCAUCUCAUUCUCCUCAAAAAGUUUCAAAAGAGCAAGAAAGGUAUGUAUCCCCACAAAAGAGCAUAAGUAGAAUUAGACUUUCACCAUUGUUAUCACCAUCAUUACCAUGCACCAUUCAUUUGCCACACAUGCAUAUCUUGAUUUGACUUAUUGACUUGUUCUUCUGGAUCCAUGGUUUGACUAUGCAAUAAAUGUCUUGUAAGUAUGUAUUAGCUGUCUCCCAUCUAUGAGCUCCAGAUAUCAAAACCUUAUUAGAGUAGGGUGAGAGAGAAGGCAUACACCAUUACUGCCUUGGUAAGGAUCCAGAAAUACCACAAAAGAGAGACUAGAGAGAGUCAUACAAGGAAUCUCUGAGUUUUAUUUGAAAAUCUGCAAAAACUACAGAGCUAUAGUUAAUCGAAGAACAAGAGACAUGGCGCUUGAUUAGACCGUUCUAUCUUUUAACUACUCAAGACAGAAGUGACGGUUACAAACCCCAUGGUGAAAGGUAAAAUGAGUAAGUUUAAAUAUUAACAGUUUACCCUAACCCAGAGAUGAGAUCUUGUUUGAAUGCAUGUAUAUCUUUAAGGCAUGAAACCACUGCAGAAACUUUUGAGUUUAUCUUUGCUCGGGGACGAGCAAAGGUUAAGCUUAGGGGAGCUUGUUGACGGUCCUUAAUGCUCACAUUUAACCAUCAACUAAUCAUGGAAAAGGAUCCAAAUGCAAUCAACAUCUAGACUUAGGGUUUUAUCUGACAGAAUUCCAUGAGUUUUGGUGUUUGUCUAUUUCUGCAGGGGGUUAUCAGGAAAUAAGGAAGAAAGGCCCACACGUCGGGUUUACAUAGAGAUAUUAACGUGCCGUGCAAUUUUCUAUCAUCUAGAAGACUCCAGAAGCCACGGGAACAAAGCGGAAGCUGAGAGGCCUCAGGGAUAGGGUGCCCGCCCUAGUCCUGAGGGCGCCCGCCCACCUUUUUCCACCAAACAGAGUCCAAUUCGGGGACAACACUCCACCGACCUAAAGGAUCAAGGAAAACCGUGCGAUCAAUGUCGGUUUGAUCCAACGGCCCAGAUUCACUUGAAGGGACUAUAAAACCAGACCCCCUGGCCCCUGGAGAUCAUACCUCUUCUACAGAAUCAAAGCUAGGGUUUCAAUUCUUCAUCCAAGUAGAGAGGAUCCCUCUAGUUCUUCUAGUUCUACCUCUAGUUCAUCUAGUUCUAGUUCUAGUUCAUCUAGUUCUAGUUCUAGUUCCUCUAGUUCUAGUUCUAGUUAGUUCUAGUUGUAAUCUAGAAAAUAGGGAGAGAGAAGAGGAUAGCGGAGGAGGAGCCAAAUCUGUCGGAUCUUCCUCAACAUUGUACUUUUGCAGCAACUGGUUUGUUCUUCAUCGUUCUCUAGGUUCUUCAAUUCAUAAUUCCUGAGUUCUUUAAUUACUUUUAUUUACAUUCAAGUUAUUUAUUGGAUUCCCGC
rnacentral:lncRNA from 1 species